rnacentral:rRNA from 1 species
UGAACGCUGGCGGCAUGCCUUACACAUGCAAGUCGAACGGCAGCACGGGUGCUUGCACCUGGUGGCGAGUGGCGAACGGGUGAGUAAUACAUCGGAACAUGUCCUGUAGUGGGGGAUAGCCCGGCGAAAGCCGGAUUAAUACCGCAUACGAUCUACGGAUGAAAGCGGGGGACCUUCGGGCCUCGCGCUAUAGGGUUGGCCGAUGGCUGAUUAGCUAGUUGGUGGGGUAAAGGCCUACCAAGGCGACGAUCAGUAGCUGGUCUGAGAGGACGACCAGCCACACUGGGACUGAGACACGGCCCAGACUCCUACGGGAGGCAGCAGUGGGGAAUUUUGGACAAUGGGCGAAAGCCUGAUCCAGCAAUGCCGCGUGUGUGAAGAAGGCCUUCGGGUUGUAAAGCACUUUUGUCCGGAAAGAAAUCCUUGGCUCUAAUACAGUCGGGGGAUGACGGUACCGGAAGAAUAAGCACCGGCUAACUACGUGCCAGCAGCCGCGGUAAUACGUAGGGUGCGAGCGUUAAUCGGAAUUACUGGGCGUAAAGCGUGCGCAGGCGGUUUGCUAAGACCGAUGUGAAAUCCCCGGGCUCAACCUGGGAACUGCAUUGGUGACUGGCAUGCUAGAGUAUGGCAGAGGGGGGUAGAAUUCCACGUGUAGCAGUGAAAUGCGUAGAGAUGUGGAGGAAUACCGAUGGCGAAGGCAGCCCCCUGGGCCAAUACUGACGCUCAUGCACGAAAGCGUGGGGAGCAAACAGGAUUAGAUACCCUGGUAGUCCACGCCCUAAACGAUGUCAACUAGUUGUUGGGGAUUCAUUUCCUUAGUAACGUAGCUAACGCGUGAAGUUGACCGCCUGGGGAGUACGGUCGCAAGAUUAAAACUCAAAGGAAUUGACGGGGACCCGCACAAGCGGUGGAUGAUGUGGAUUAAUUCGAUGCAACGCGAAAAACCUUACCUACCCUUGACAUGGUCGGAAUCCCGCUGAGAGGUGGGAGUGCUCGAAAGAGAACCGGCGCACAGGUGCUGCAUGGCUGUCGUCAGCUCGUGUCGUGAGAUGUUGGGUUAAGUCCCGCAACGAGCGCAACCCUUGUCCUUAGUUGCUACGCAAGAGCACUCUAAGGAGACUGCCGGUGACAAACCGGAGGAAGGUGGGGAUGACGUCAAGUCCUCAUGGCCCUUAUGGGUAGGGCUUCACACGUCAUACAAUGGUCGGAACAGAGGGUUGCCAACCCGCGAGGGGGAGCUAAUCCCAGAAAACCGAUCGUAGUCCGGAUUGCACUCUGCAACUCGAGUGCAUGAAGCUGGAAUCGCUAGUAAUCGCGGAUCACGCAUGCCGCGGUGAAUACGUUCCCGGGUCUUGUACACACCGCCC